GGAUGUGCAGGGAUCUGGGACAUCUGUCACCCCAUUGAUGUCAGGGUUGAUCUGGCUGAUCUGGCUUAGCUAAGUGAGUGUCCCCUUCCUCCUUCACUGCUCCCCAUGUGUCCCUCCUGAGGCUGCAUGCUGAGCAGAAGAGGAUGUCCUUCCUGGUAGAGGAGGACCAUUCUUCUUACACUGCCCUGCCAGAACCCCCAAACAAGCUCUCAGACAUCCCCCAUGUUCUGUGAGAUUCUGAUUUAUGCUUUUCCCCAACGCUUCCCUUGGAAGUCACUGG
rnacentral:snRNA from 1 species